UGUGGGAGCUGGCUUGCCUGCGAUAGCUGUGUGUCAGGCGACACAUCUACCACUGAUACACCGCUAUCGCAGGCAAGCCAGCUCCCACA
rnacentral:antisense_RNA from 1 species